rnacentral:rRNA from 1 species
CAGUCGCCGCGGUAAUACAGAGGGUGCAAGCGUUAAUCGGAAUUACUGGGCGUAAAGCGCGCGUAGGUGGUUUGUUAAGUUGGAUGUGAAAUCCCCGGGCUCAACCUGGGAACUGCAUUCAAAACUGACCGACUAGAGUAUGGUAGAGGGUGGUGGAAUUUCCUGUGUAGCGGUGAAAUGCGUAGAUAUAGGAAGGAACACCAGUGGCGAAGGCGACCACCUGGACUAAUACUGACACUGAGGUGCGAAAGCGUGGGGAGCAAACAGGAUUAGAUACCCCGGUAGUCCCUGUCUCUUAUAC